ensembl:lncRNA
UGCAUCCAGUUGCCAGUGACGAACAUCCACCAGGUAAUCCACAUGAUGUAAAAGAAAACAUGAUUCAUCAGACCAGGACACCUUCUUCCAUCUGUGGUCCAAUUUUGAUGCUAACAUGCCCAUAGGCAGUGGACAGGGGUGGGGCCAUCAUGGACAUCCUGACUGGUCACAGUGUGUCUUCUGUCCUGUCUCCCUCCCAUCACCUCCAUCAGAUUGCUGCUGUCCUGAUCCUAUCCUGAUUCUGUUUUGUUGUUUUGUCCUGUUAAAAGGGAGUUUUUCCUUCCCACUUUC